CCAGCUGCCGCAACGCAGGCUUUUGUGAGGGGCACACGAGCAGCCGAUUGGCUGCUCCCGGUUGCCCCGGCGAUCGGUGCGGCUCGCGCGCGCCUCACAAUGAUGUGGCGAGAGGGGGGAGACAGAGCAAGGUGAUUCACCCCCGAAGAAACAGCUGUUGGACCUUGGGAGAAGAUCCAUACCUGAAACUUGUUCAGAAAUGCUAGUGAAAACCUGUGAAGAGGUUCAACAAGAGCAGAAGCACUACAGACUUCUCCAAACUGCUUUUCGAAGACACCUUAACACUGACCAGGAGGCACCACUGAAGGGGUGAAAAUAGUCUGGUUUCCAGCUGCAUGCAGCUGCUUUUGGCCUCUCUUCUGAGACUACCAGCUAGCAUGGCCAAUUAGUAGGAUAUAAUUGUGGUGGGAUUUUUACUCUUCUGGGAGCUGGAUUGGAAUUAUCAUCACAUUUCACAUAGGCCUCCAAAGAGCCAACUGAGUUAACAACUACUGGACACUUCUGAACUGGGAAAGAUCUAAACCAGUGACCUAAUGGAAAGAGGCAGCAAAUCCCCUUACCAACCAGUCCUAUGUGUGACAUUUAUUAAUCACAAGCGUCUACCCUUAAUUUCCAUCUCUGUUAAAACUCACUUUUGGUAGUAA